rnacentral:rRNA from 1 species
AGAGUUUGAUCAUGGCUCAGAUUGAACGCUGGCGGCAGGCCUAACACAUGCAAGUCGAACGGUAACAGGAAGCAGCUUGCUGCUUCGCUGACGAGUGGCGGACGGGUGAGUAAUGUCUGGGAAGCUGCCUGAUGGAGGGGGAUAACUACUGGAAACGGUAGCUAAUACCGCAUAAUGUCGCAGGACCAAAGAGGGGGACCUUCGGGCCUCUUGCCAUCGGAUGUGCCCAGAUGGGAUUAGCUUGUUGGUGGGGUAACGGCUCACCAAGGCGACGAUCCCUAGCUGGUCUGAGAGGAUGACCAGCCACACUGGAACUGAGACACGGUCCAGACUCCUACGGGAGGCAGCAGUGGGGAAUAUUGCACAAUGGGCGCAAGCCUGAUGCAGCCAUGCCGCGUGUAUGAAGAAGGCCUUCGGGUUGUAAAGUACUUUCAGCGGGGAGGAAGGGAGUAAAGUUAAUACCUUUGCUCAUUGACGUUACCCGCAGAAGAAGCACCGGCUAACUCCGUGCCAGCAGCCGGGGUAAUACGGAGGGUGCAAGCGUUAAUCGGAAUUACUGGGCGUAAAGCGCACGCAGGCGGUUUGUUAAGUCAGAUGUGAAAUCCCCGGGCUCAACCUGGGAACUGCAUCUGAUACUGGCAAGCUUGAGUCUCAUAGAGGGGGGUAGAAUUCCAGGUGUAGCGGUGAAAUGCGUAGAGAUCUGGAGGAAUACCGGUGGCGAAGGCGGCCCCCUGGACGAAGACUGACGCUCAGGUGCGAAAGCGUGGGGAGCAAACAGGAUUAGAUACCCCGGUAGUCCACGCCGUAAACGAUGUCGACUUGGAGGUUGUGCCCUUGAGGCGUGGCUUCCGGAGCUAACGCGUUAAGUCGACCGCCUGGGGAGUACGGCCGCAAGGUUAAAACUCAAAUGAAUUGACGGGGGCCCGCACAAGCGGUGGAGCAUGUGGUUUAAUUCGAUGCAACGCGAAGAACCUUACCUGGUCUUGACAUCCACGGAAGUUUUCAGAGAUGAGAAUGUGCCUUCGGGAACCGUGAGACAGGUGCUGCAUGGCUGUCGUCAGCUCGUGUUGUGAAAUGUUGGGUUAAGUCCCGCAACGAGCGCAACCCUUAUCCUUUGUUGCCAGCGGUCCGGCCGGGAACUCAAAGGAGACUGCCAGUGAUAAACUGGAGGAAGGUGGGGAUGACGUCAAGUCAUCAUGGCCCUUACGACCAGGGCUACACACGUGCUACAAUGGCGCAUACAAAGAGAAGCGACCUCGCGAGAGCAAGCGGACCUCAUAAAGUGCGUCGUAGUCCGGAUUGGAGUCUGCAACUCGACUCCAUGAAGUCGGAAUCGCUAGUAAUCGUGGAUCAGAAUGCCACGGUGAAUACGUUCCCGGGCCUUGUACACACCGCCCGUCACACCAUGGGAGUGGGUUGCAAAAGAAGUAGGUAGCUUAACCUUCGGGAGGGCGCUUACCACUUUGUGAUUCAUGACUGGGGUGAGGUCGUAACAAGGUA